AAACCGGUCGGGAGACGAUCGCUGGUUUCUCCGGUCGUUUCGGCGGCCGGGCGGAGCCAGAGGAAAGUCCGAACACCACAAGGCAGCAUGCCCCGUGAAAGCGGGGGCGGCGGAGGGCGAAAGCCACCGUCGACGGAAAGUGUCGCAGAAAGGAAAACCGCCCCCGGCGCCUCGGCGCCGGACCAGGCAAGGGUGAAAAGGCGAGGUAAGAGCUCACCGCCCCGAGGGUGACCGAGGGGGCAAGAAAAACCCCGUGCGGUGCAAGACAGAACAGGGCAAACAUUCUCCGGACCGCCUGUCCGGACCCGCCUCGGCGGGAUAAGCCCGGGUAAUAGUCGCACCCCGCGCAAGCGGGGAGCGCCGGCUCCGGCCGGGGCUAGAGAAAUGAUCGUCCACCCGUCCGCGGGUGAACAGAAUUCGGCUUACGAGACCGGUUUCGCA
rnacentral:RNase_P_RNA from 1 species